CGGGGUGUAGCUCAGCCUGGUUAGAGCGCUGCGUUUGGGACGCAGAAGUCGCAGGUUCGAAUCCUGUCACCCCGA
rnacentral:tRNA from 1 species